rnacentral:lncRNA from 1 species
CCAUCCAAAUCUUUUCCGAAUUUUCUCAUCCCCUGUUCCGAGUUCUCCCCAGCUUCAGCGGAACAAAGCCCAAGUCUUGCCAUCGCGAGCUUCAUUUCAACUGCCAGCCGAAUCCCGAAUUCCUCCCACGCAUCUCGGCAUGCCAGAUUGACUCAACGAGAUAAGCACCUCAUGCGAUCGGGAUGAAUCUUCCACAUGCCUUCGAGCCAUGCUUCCCAGGAACAGAACAAAGCCGGGAGUCUCAUCUCUGGCAUCGGUGGACUCCGACUUUCACGUCCGGAUCGGAUCUUCUCCCCAUUUCGAUCACGUCCACGGAACAGAAGCGAUUCCUCGC